rnacentral:rRNA from 1 species
GACGAACGCUGGCGGCGUGCCUAAUACAUGCAAGUCGAACGCAGGGGGGACGGGUGAGUAACACGUGGGUAACCUCCCAUCAGAGGGGAUAACCCUUGGAAACAGGUGCUAAACCCAUAUUGAUGGAUGGACCCGGUGGGGUAUAGCCAGUCGGUGGGGUAACGGCUCACCAAGGCCACGAUGCUUAGCCGGGCUGAGAGGGUGAUCAGCCAAACUGGGACUGAGACACGGCCCAGACUCCUAAGGGAGGCAGCAGUAGGGAAUAUUGGACAAUGGGCGAAAGCCUGACCGAGCCAUGCCGCGUGAGUGAAGAAGGUUUUCGGAUUGUAAAGCUCUUUUGGUGGGGAGGCGGUAUCUAACCAGAAAGCAACGGCUAACUCCGUGCCAGCCGCCGCGGUAAUUC